CAAAGUGGUUGCUGCCUGUCUUCUCCUGCAGGAUAUUGAUGGUUUCCUGUCUCACAUUUAGGUCUUUCAUCCCUUUAAAUUUAUUUUUGUGUAUGGUGUAAGAAAGCGGUCCAGUUUCAUUCUUCUGCAUAUCACUAUGCAGUUUUCUGAACA